UACGAAGGGGGCUAGCGUUGUUCGGAAUCACUGGGCGUAAAGCGUACGUAGGCGGAUCGUUAAGUCAGGGGUGAAAGCCUGGAGCUCAACUCCAGAACUGCCUUUGAUACUGGCGAACUUGAGACCGGGAGAGGUGAGUGGAACUGCUAGUGUAGAGGUGAAAUUCGUAGAUAUUAGCAAGAACACCAGUGGCGAAGGCGGCUCACUGGCCCGGUACUGACGCUGAGGUACGAAAGCGUGGGGAGCAAACAGG
rnacentral:rRNA from 1 species